UACGAAGGGGGCUAGCGUUGCUCGGAAUUACUGGGCGUAAAGCGCACGUAGGCGGAUUGUUAAGUCGGGGGUGAAAUCCUGGAGCUCAACUCCAGAACUGCCUUCGAUACUGGCGAUCUCGAGUUCGGGAGAGGUGAGUGGAACUGCGAGUGUAGAGGUGAAAUUCGUAGAUAUUCGCAAGAACACCAGUGGCGAAGGCGGCUCACUGGCCCGAUACUGACGCUGAGGUGCGAAAGCGUUGGGAGCAAACAGG
rnacentral:rRNA from 1 species